GACGAACGCUGGCGGCGUGCUUAACACAUGCAAGUCGAACGGUGAAGCGCCUUCCUUUUUGGUGGGUGUGGAUGAGUGGCGAACGGGUGAGUAACACGUGAGUAACCUGCCCCCUUCUUCUGGAUAACCGCAUGAAAGUGUGGCUAAUACGGGAUAUUCUGGGUCUGUCGCAUGAUGGGUCUGGGAAAGAUAUUGUUUCGGUGGGGGAUGGGCUCGCGGCCUAUCAGCUUGUUGGUGGGGUGAUGGCCUACCAAGGCGGUGACGGGUAGCCGGCCUGAGAGGGUGGACGGUCACACUGGGACUGAGACACGGCCACGCCUCCUACGGGAGGCAGCAGUGGGGAAUAGUGCACAAUGGGCGCAAGCCUGAUGCAGCGACGCCGCGUGAGGGAUGGAGGCCUGCGGGUUGUGAACCUCUUUCGCCAGUGAAGCAGGCCUGCCUCGUUUGUGGGUGGGUUGACGGUAGCUGGAUAAGAAGCGCCGGCUAACUACGUG
rnacentral:rRNA from 1 species